rnacentral:misc_RNA from 1 species
AUCGAGUUUAAAAUACCGACACUGCGCUUGCGGGUAACGUAAAGUGUAGAAAUGCAGCGGAUAUCGUGAUCUAUUAUUAUGCGAUUAUUCGCCGAAAGGAAAAAUGGUAAAUUUUCCGGAACUACUGGGAGCGGGUAUUUUUUUCGUCAUGGAUUGACGGCCCUGAUCGUCAGAGCAAAGUGGUUGGUAGCAGCACUCCGCGAGCGACCGAUGGGAGUGGGAAAUGGGCAGGGAACAACAGCAGUUUGUGGCAGUUUGUGGUGUUUGUCCGCGGUGUCGCUGAACCAGUGAUAUAAGCUAGAGCAACGAUAUUCUCGUUCUCGCAUAAGGCGAAAGAGGUCAACAAAGACCCUUCUCGUUCUCGGUGUGAUCACUUCUCUUUACUAUUUCCGAGGAUAUUCGGAACUGACGACCGUUUUCAUGUCUCGGUGCGAGUACGGCUACCUACCGAAACUGCCUAUGAAGAUUGUAGAACGUUAGAAAAUGCUGGGAGACGAUCCACCGUAUCUGUCGGUUGGUACGGAGGUAAGCGCUAAGUACAAGGGUGCGUUUUGUGAGGCUAAAAUCAGGAAGGUUGUGCGGUCGGUGAAAUGCCGUGUAACGUAUAAGCAGGGCUUGGGAACAGCAACAGUCACCGAUGAUCAGAUAAAAGGCACGCUCAGGGUAGGGGGGCUGGUCGAAGCCAAGCACAAUGACAGAAAGGAAUUCGUCGAUGCUACCGUCAACAAAAUACAAGACUGUAGUCAGUACACUGUCGUUUUUGAUGACGGAGACAUAACGACUCUCAGACGAACUGCUUUGUGCCUGAAAAGUGGCAGACACUUUGCAGAGAGUGAAACUUUGGAUCAGCUGCCUCUCACUCAUCCCGAACACUUUGGUAAUCCUGUUAUCGGCGGUAGGAGGGGGCGGAGAUCCAGGCAAGCUCAGGAUGAGAGCAGCGACGAUGAGGAAAGCCCACCGCGAGGUGUCAGAGAAUCAGGUUCCGGAGGUGUGGGAAAAGAACAAGUCGAAACAGAACCAGAGAUUGGUAGAGUCGUGUGCGUAGAGCUUGGAGACAAGAAGAAAAAGGACAAUUGGUUCCCAGGGUUGGUAGUUGCUCCAACUGCCCAGGAUACAGUCAGGAUACGUGUCCGAGAUGACUAUCUAGUUCGUUCAUUUAAGGAUGCCAGAUACUACACCGUUCCAAAGAAGGAAGCAACAGAGUUCACCAAAGAAUUGGUUAACAAGGUGGAGAAUAAUGCGCUCAAAAUUGCCGUUGAAAAGGCAUUGUUAUUUCUCGACAAAAACGAACUUCCACCUCACUGGGACAGGGAUUCUUUAUUUGGCAAUGCAGACUCUAGCGGGAACAGCGAUAGUGACGCAGAACUGGAUUCCGAUAGUUCCGAUGACGAGCCAAGGGAGGAAAAGGACCACUUUGUUGCACAGCUUUACAAGUUUAUGGACGAUCGAGGAACUCCGAUAAACAAUUGUCCUAUGAUAGGGACACAGGAUAUAGACUUGUACAGACUAUUCAGAGCCGUUUACAAACUGGGUGGUUACAAUCGUGUCACAAAUCAGAAUCAAUGGAAGUCCAUUACUCGUCGACUCGGUUUUCCCAUUCAGAGUACGUCGUCAACUCAGAACGCCGUGAAACAACAGUACAAAAAGUUCCUUCAUUCUUUUGAAGAUUUUUAUAGGAAGCUUGGUUGCACAAUGGUAAAUCACCCGAGGGGCAGUACCAGGAAACAGAGACCCGGCAGGAGUCUGAUCAGAGACAGAGACAGGAAUACGCCUGUCCCGCCACAGAUGCCCUCAACAAAGAUUGAGAAGGAGGAGGAAGAAAAAGAGAAAGACAAAGACAGGGAAAAGGAGAAGGAGAAAGAAAAGGACAAGGAAAAAGAAAAGGAGAAAGAGAAGGAGAAGGAGAAGGAGAAGGAGAAGGAGAAGGAGAAGGAAAAGGAGAAAGAGAAAAGAAUCGAGGAGGAGGAAAAACGGGAGAAAAAGGAGGUGAAGAAGGAGCCGAUGAAGGAGGAGGAGAUUGUGAAGAUUAAGAAGAAGGAGGAAUUCGAGGAGAGCGGGAGUGGACAAGACAGCGAUGUGAACAUCGACGGGGAGGAGGAAUCGUCGUCUAGCGAAAAAUCACAGAAAAUCGUUGCCACAUUGGCGCCAAAGGCAAAGCCGCCAGCAAAGCUCAAAGAUGAAAAGAAAAAAACUGGGGAAAAGAAGAAGGGAGAUGCGAAAAAGCCGGAGAAGAAGGCGGAAGACAAGGUGAAAGAGGAAGAACAGCUAACCGUGACCAGAUCCAAGUCCAAGGAUGACACGACCAAGGGUAAACCAUCGAUUACCGAACCCAGAGACGUUCGAACACCAUCCGCGGAGACUGAGAAGAAGAUUCCCCCGAAGCAGCGCCGACCUACCGAAGAAGAGUUGAAAAAGCGCGGCAGAAAACGCAAAGAAAGCGAGCCGGAAAAGCCGAGGCCCAUGGAGGAAAUGCCCACCGAUCCCGCACCGUCGUACAAAGGGGUGGUUGACCUCGGAGAUCGUCUCAAGGUUUACUACGGGCCUAACCACGAGUCUAAAGUAACGUACGAGGCAAAAGUAAUCGAUAUAGAGAAAGAGGGUGCUGAGCCGGUUUACCUGGUCCACUACACUGGCUGGAACACGCGAUACGACGAGUGGAUAAAGGGCUCCAGGAUUGCGCAAAAUUUCACACAGACUCAAGGUCGCGUAAAGCGCGGCAAGACCACUCCUAGGCCACAGACUCCAAGUACUGCGGGCUCCUCUGCGUCUAGUAAACUAGCCAAGUCGUCGGCCCAGAACAGGAGAAGGGCACACAGUGUCGCGCCUACCUCCGUAACUACUGCAAUACCAACUGCGUCGAUGAUGAAGGAUGUCGGAAAGCGGGACGAGAAGGAGAAGGACGGCCAUCCACCCCGAUCAAGCACACCGUCUUCGGUCGCAAGUUCAAGUUCCAGGACGAAGAGCCCUGCGACUCCAGCCGUAGGAAGGCAGACCAGAGUUACCAGGAACAACGACUCCUCGGGGCUCGAACCGCGGAGACGUACCAGACGCAUGUCUGGUCAUACAGACAUAUCAGUGGCAUCGGAGAGCGACAGCGAUGCCUACGAAUCAGACACGAUGGAGCCGGAGCAAACAAGGACAAGAUCCAGGGGAAUGGAGGAGCGGAAAAAAAACACGAGGCAACGCGGGGAUGAUGAGGUGAAAACCGAGGACUGCAGCGAAGCUGAGGAGGAGAAGGAUGCACCUGAGGAGCUCAGAAGGGGACGCAGGCUCAGGAGAACGCCGGGAAAGAAUCAGGCAGUGAAGUCAGAGCCUGAGAGCGACGAGGAUCAACCCAAGGGUCGGGACUUUGAUCUGAACCAGAUCAGAUCGGAGCUGAAGGGCUUUGAAAAGGCUGUCAAACUCGACAUGAUUAGGGUUGAAAGGGAAACGGAAGAGGCGAAUCUUGAGGAGAAGGAAAGUGAGGACAAGCCUUUGGUCCCAAUGCCCGCAUCACCGAAGGCAGAGAAGAAACAGUUAGAGCCGCCCAAACUCGAAGCCGUUGUUGAAACCAAGACUGCCGAGAGCACAGAAGAUAUUUACGAGUUCAAAGAACCGGAACCUUUCGAAUUUGAAGUAAGAAACAAACGGGACUCGGGCGGUGAGAAGGACAAGGUUAAAAAACGCGUUUUCGACGAGGAGCCGAAGAGCCCGAAGAAAAAACAGAAGGUACUACCUCCGUUGCCGAAGGAAAUAAAACUCGAGGUUGACGGCGAUCCAAAAAAGAGAGUUCGAAGAUCUUUAAUUAAGAGGGUGGAAGACGCGGAUGUUCUUCCUCCGUCCGGGAAGGCCAGAUCUCAGCUCGCCUGCGAAGAGGCAUUCGACAAGCUCUGCGAAUCUCCUUCUUUCAGCCCCUUGAAGCCUGUUCCAGUAGCAGAGGAGGCUGGAAAAGUAGCAACAACGCUCGACCUGCUCUUCAGCGACCUGCCCGGUGACGAGGACGGACCAGCCGACGACCCGGAGGACAGGCUAAUCAUAUCGGAGGCUGAGGUUUCCGAGGCCGAGCAAGAGAAUCUCUUCACUUAUCAACAGGAAAUUUUUCCAUCCAACGACAUUCCCGAUACCAUGGAGUUCAGUAAGGAGGAGGGCAAGGACCAAGAAAAGGCGUCCAAAGAGGAACCACUACCCGGUGGCAACAAGUCGAUGCUGGCAACUAGCGCAGAGAUCAAACAAUCCGCCAAUAAAAUUUCGCUGGCAGCUGUCGCGACUGCCGCUGCGACUAUUCCUGUCGAAACGAAAACUCUUGACAUCAAACCGCCUGAAAUUUCUCCCGCUCUGUCCCCUGCCCUCGUAGCCCCGGCUCCGAUCAGCACCAGACUCCCGGCUACGUCGACGAUAGAGGAAAAACUAUCAGCAGCAGCGAUGGCAUUCAAAAAUAAAACCAAGGAUGGCCGACGGGAGGACGAGGAGCAGAGGAAGGCGGCGAAGGAGUUGUCGAAGAAGUCGGAGACGUCUGUUAUCGUGAGAAAGGGUAAGGAUGAUCAGGUAUCGGUGAAAAUCGCGGACGUCGAUAACAGUGUUGGUAAGCGAGGCGAAGAUGGAAAAGAAGAGAAGACUGGAGAGGAGGCGAUGAGGGUUGCAAUCAAGCAGAAACAGGAGGAACUCCAGCAGUUGAAGAUGAAGAAGGAGGCCGAACUCAAACGCGCGGCGGAAGCCAAAGCCGCGGCUACUUCAGCUGAGCAAAAGAAACUCGCUCAAGAUAAGCUGGAGCAGGAACAGAAGAGGAAAGAGGAUGAGGUUUCAUCGUCGUCUAGGAAGGAGGAGGAGCGCAGAGAUCGUGAUCAGAAGGACAAGGAGAAGGACAAGCGGAAACGUGUCAUAAGCCAGGAAUUCAUCGACUCGACGGACAGCAGCGAUUCGGAGCAGCGUCUUAUCAUUGACAACGAGGAACCGCCAGAGGAGAAAAACGCCACCUCGAAUUUCGACAUUAAGCUACGAGCCGAGCUUGAGAAACUCCAGGACAUCCAGGAAGGAAGGAACGCUCAGAUUCAGCCUCCCAUCGAGGACCCUGCUGUUCUAGAGUGUAAACCUCUCAUUGUUAUACCGCUGCCCAAAACCGAAGAAGAGGCUGAAAACAUCAGCUCUCUUCUCUGUGAAGAGGAGAUUCCGGGCUCUCCGGCUCCCGUCAUCGACAGCGUCGAUCAGGCCAGUGCUUCUGCGGCCAAUCAACUACCCUCCCAGGUCAAAGUCUCAGAAAGCAACAUAGUUUUGUUGGAAAUGCCGUUCGCUAGCGCUCCGACUUCUGGCCAGACCUCUGCCAGUGUUGGUACUGUUUCUACGAUCAGCGUCGCGGUGUCCAAGAGUUCCGACGUUUCCGUACCCGUCUCGCUGCCCGUCCAACAGGCCCUCGUUAUUGGAGCUAGAGCUCAACCUCUUCCCCAACCUCUUCCUCAGCCACAACCACCAGCGGCUCCUGUGGCAGUCCAACGACGGGAGAGUAACGAGGCGGCUCCAGUGAUGGACAACACGCCGCCCACGACCCCGGAUUCGACUAUUUCAAACAUAUCGGGUUCACCGAGAGGUGAGGGAACAGGUGGAUCAUCGCCGCUGUCGGAGGACAACACCAAGUCGAAUAGGGAUAGCUCAGAGGCGGACAACGACGCAGCUGGCAAAUGUAUUAGCGGAGGUUUUAGCGAGGAUGAUACCUGCAUGAAUAACACCUCCGAAGGCGUUGGUCAGGAGAGAGAGGCAAAAAUAGCCGCCAAGAGAACUGCCGAAGAAACCCAAUCACCCAAGAAGCGGAAACGUAGCAGAAAACAUUCCGAAUGCGGUAGCAACGUUGGAAAAAAAUCGUCAGGCACUAGACACUCGUCAAGGCAUUCCAUGCGGCAUUCCGCCGCCGGAAGUGACAGCGACGACACCAGCGAAAGCUCUAAUAUGAUAUGCGCUGGUAAUUCGAACGUCACCAAUCAUCCUAAUAUUGCAACAAGUGUUACAGAUCUCGUUACCUACUCAACCAGGUCACCUAGACCUUUGAAGUAUAACUUUUACGUCGAGCUCGAUCCCGAGUUGGAUGGCAGCCAGCGUAUCGCUGUGCUGCAGCAAAAGCUUGCGGAAUUACGAAAGACUUACAACGCUGUUAAGGUAGAACUUGCCGGUAUAGAGAGAAGGAGAAAAAAACUGAGACGUAGAGAACGUGAAGCAUUGAAGGCAGCCAAAGCAGAGAUGCAACAAGCUUGCUCGUGAUGAGAAAACAAAAACGAGAGGGACAAAAAAGCAACAAUCGAGCAGAAUUUUAAAGCAAACUAACUACUUAAGCCGCCUGACGCGAGUGCAAAUAUGAAACAUUCAGUAUCUAGAUGUGAAAAGCUAGCAGUAGAAGAAUAGAGAUUUAACAUCGUGGCAAAAAAUUACCCUGCUCCCGCCUUUCCUCUACGGCAUUAUAUCACAUAAUUAUGGUGAUGAACGAUACGUACAAUACUUAUGUCUGAUUCCGAGACACAAGAAAAAAAAAAAACGCAAAGUACAGGGAUAACUGUGGAAGUGGGGCAUCGAUUUACAA